GACCCGUCUUGAAACACGGACCAACAGAGCAUCAGCACGCGAGCCAGUGGGAUGGCGUGUGCGGGGCCGGCGUGCCCCCACCGCCGAUCGAUGAUCCCUACAGGCGCAGACAACUCGACCGCCCCUGGUUGGUGUUGUGGGAUUACGGGUUCGGCCAUCGCCCCGCGGUGCCGUUCCCCUCCAUCCCAGGGUGUCCCGCCCAGCGGGAGGCUCCGGUCUCCCGUGUGGACAUACCCGCGAGUGCGCAGGAUGCGACCCGAAAGAUGGUGAACUAUGCCUGAUCAGGUUGAAGUCAGGGGAAACCCUGAUGGAGGACCGAAGCAAUUCUGACGUGCAAAUCGAUUGUCAGAGUUGGGCAUAGGGGCGAAAGACCAAUCGAACCAUCUAGUAGCUGGUUCCUUCCGA
rnacentral:rRNA from 1 species